CCGGGGUAUAAUUAGGGGGCAACAGUUUUCUGGAAUUAUUGGGGGUAAAAGGCGCGCAGGGGGGUUUCUUUAAUUUGAUUUGAAAGCCCCCGGGUUAACCGGGGAGGGUCAUUGGAAAAUGGGAGACUUGAGUGCCGGAGAGGGAAGCGGAGUUCCACGUGUAGCGGUGAAAUGCGUAGAGAUAUGGAGGAACACCACUGGCGAAGGCGGCUUCUUGGCCUGUAAAUGACGCUGAGGCGCGAAAAAGUGGGGAGCAAACAGGAUUAGAUACCCCGGUAGUCCACGCCGUAAACGAUGAGUGCUAAAUGUUUGGGGGUUUCCACCCCUUAGUGUUGCAGAUAAAGCAUUAAACACUCCGCCUGGGGAGUACGGUCGCAAGACUGAAAAUCAAAGGAAUUGACGGGGGGCCGCACAAGCGGUGGAGCAUGUGGUUUAAUUUGAAGCAACGCGAAGAACCUUUCCAGGUCUUGACAUCUCGCUGACCGCUAUGGAGACAUAGCUUUCCCUUUGGGGACAGCGG
rnacentral:rRNA from 1 species